rnacentral:rRNA from 1 species
AGUGAACGCUGGCGGUAGGCCUAACACAUGCAAGUCGAACGGCAGCACAGUAAGAGCUUGCUCUUACGGGUGGCGAGUGGCGGACGGGUGAGGAAUACAUCGGAAUCUACUUUUUCGUGGGGGAUAACGUAGGGAAACUUACGCUAAUACCGCAUACGACCUACGGGUGAAAGCAGGGGAUCUUCGGACCUUGCGCGAUUGAAUGAGCCGGUGUCGGAUUAGCUAGUUGGCGGGGUAAAGGCCCACCAAGGCGACGAUCCGUAGCUGGUCUGAGAGGAUGAUCGGCCACACGGAAACUGGGAAACGGUCCAGACCCCUAGGGGAGGAACAGGUGGGGAAUCUUGACCAUAGGGGGAAGGCUGGACCAAGCAACACGGGUGGGGUGAGGAGGGCUUCCGGUUGUAAAAGCCUUUUUUUUGGGAAGGAAAGGAGGAGGUUAAUACCCCGCUGUUCCUGACGGUACCAAAGAAGAAAGACCCGGCAAAUUACGGG